AUGGUGAGUUCUUGCAGAAUGAUCGUGAAUGGAGGAAGUGAGAGUGAAGGGUUGAAUAUGAAGAUGGAGAGAGAAAGAAGAAUGAAGGCGAGUGAUGAAAAAUCUGAGCCAUUGCAUCGGGAGUUAGUUGCAAGCAAUGCAGGGGCUAUUUGGAUUAAUGUGUUUGGAUUGCUUCUGAUUUUUUCUUCUAUUAAAAGAAUGCAAUGUUUUUGGACAGAUCUUGGUAAGGAAGAUGGAAGCAAAGUUUGCAAAUGGAGCAUGGUGGAAAUCUUGAAGGCAAGGAGUUUUAAAAUAUGGACAUGA